GCCAUUUGAAAAUUGAUUUUACUAUAUUUUCUAAAAUAUGGGAAUUGGCCAUUUGAAGUGGCACUUAACACCUUGGCCCACAUCCUUCAUUUGAUAACCAAGUUACUAAGUAAAUAAGGUACUCUCUCUUACUACCUUGAUUCACAACCCUUUGAAAAACUGGAAACAUCAUGAUAUAAAAACAACAUUAAAACAGUAUAGAAGCAUAUAUUGUUGCACAACUGCGGCAUUACAGACUCCACUAGGCCUUACUUAGAUUUUUCGCCUCAUAAAUCCUGAUAGUGAAACACAACAGUACUAUGAUCCCCCUCGUCACUCUCCUUACUACUAGCUAUUGUUAGUUGGACUUUGUAAAUUCAUUAAUUGAAUUAAUGUCAAAUUAUAAAUUGUAUUGCAUAUCUCUAUAGUAUUCAAAUAUUAAUUUAUAUAAAAAAGUGUUCCAAAUUUUUUUUUAUAAGAUAAAUAUAUGUAAUAUGAUAGUAUACACUUAAUAUAAUUUUUCUAUUUUUUUAUUUUUUUUAAUUGAAGGGUUUUUUACCCAAUUUAAAAAAAAAAAAUCUACUUGACCGGUUAGUCCGGUUAACCACCCCGGUUAGUCCAAUUCCGGUUCAAACCGCUCCCAGCCCCUUGACCAGUUAACCGUUCCGGUAUAUAUAUAUAUAUAUUAUAACAAUGAAAAUUUAUCAAAAUACCUAUAAAAGUUCAACUAUUUAACUUUUUACCCAAUUGUAAUAUUCCAAGUCAAUAUCGUGGAAAGUGUUGUUUUGAUCCGUAAAACCCUCGAAUCCAAUCUUCUCAACCUUAGAUAUGUGAACAUCAAAAAAAUUGAUUUCAAGUCUUGAAAAUAGUGCAUCUGCAUUUUCUAAGCUGUCAAUUUUUAAGAUUUUGAAGUGUUUAAAGAUUUACUUGAUUUACACUAAUUUUUAAGCUUUAAGCUUUAUAAUUAGAUAUGAAAAUCAGUUUUCAAGUUAUUAUAAUGAUAUUCAGUACUAAAACGACAUCUUUCGAGACUAUUUGAAGGUGUGCCUUUGAUUAUUUAGGGCCCAAGCCUUAUACAAACCAC
rnacentral:lncRNA from 1 species